GAGUUUGAUCGUGGCUCAGGAUGGACGCUGGCGGCGUGCCUAAUACAUGCAAGUCGAGCGAACGGACGAGAAGCUUGCUUCUCUGAUGUUAGCGGCGGACGGGUGAGUAACACGUGGAUAACCUACCUAUAAGACUGGGAUAACUUCGGGAAACCGGAGCUAAUACCGGAUAAUAUUUUGAACCGCAUGGUUCAAAAGUGAAAGACGGUCUUGCUGUCACUUAUAGAUGGAUCCGCGCUGCAUUAGCUAGUUGGUAAGGUAACGGCUUACCAAGGCAACGAUGCAUAGCCGACCUGAGAGGGUGAUCGGCCACACUGGAACUGAGACACGGUCCAGACUCCUACGGGAGGCAGCAGUAGGGAAUCUUCCGCAAUGGGCGAAAGCCUGACGGAGCAACGCCGCGUGAGUGAUGAAGGUCUUCGGAUCGUAAAACUCUGUUAUUAGGGAAGAACAUAUGUGUAAGUAACUAGUGCACAUCUUGACGGUACCGUAAU
rnacentral:rRNA from 1 species